GCGACCGGCGCACGGGUGAGUAACACGUAUCCAACCUGCCGAUAACUCCGGAAUAGCCUUUCGAAAGAAAGAUUAAUACCGGAUGGUAUACGAAUAUCGCAUGAUAUUUUUAUUAAAGAAUUUCGGUUAUCGAUGGGGAUGCGUUCCAUUAGUUUGUUGGCGGGGUAACGGCCCACCAAGACUACGAUGGAUAGGGGUUCUGAGAGGAAGGUCCCCCACAUUGGAACUGAGACACGGUCCAAACUCCUACGGGAGGCAGCAGUGAGGAAUAUUGGUCAAUGGGCGAGAGCCUGAACCAGCCAAGUAGCGUGAAGGAUGAAGGCUCUAUGGGUCGUAAACUUCUUUUAUAUGGGAAUAAAGUUUUCCACGUGUGGAAUUUUGUAUGUACCAUAUGAAUAAGGAUCGGCUAACUCCGUGCCAGCAGCCGCGGUAAUACGGAGGAUCCGAGCGUUAUCCGGAUUUAUUGGGUUUAAAGGGAGCGUAGGUGGAUUGUUAAGUCAGUUGUGAAAGUUUGCGGCUCAACCGUAAAAUUGCAGUUGAAACUGGCAGUCUUGAGUACAGUAGAGGUGGGCGGAAUUCGUGGUGUAGCGGUGAAAUGCUUAGAUAUCACGAAGAACUCCGAUUGCGAAGGCAGCUCACUAGACUGUCACUGACACUGAUGCUCGAAAGUGUGGGUAUCAAACAGGAUUAGAUACCCUGGUAGUCCACACAGUAAACGAUGAAUACUCGCUGUUUGCGAUAUACAGUAAGCGGCCAAGCGAAAGCAUUAAGUAUUCCACCUGGGGAGUACGCCGGCAACGGUGAAACUCAAAGGAAUUGACGGGGGCCCGCACAAGCGGAGGAACAUGUGGUUUAAUUCGAUGAUACGCGAGGAACCUUACCCGGGCUUAAAUUGCAACAGAAUAUAUUGGAAACAGUAUAGCCGUAAGGCUGUUGUGAAGGUGCUGCAUGGUUGUCGUCAGCUCGUGCCGUGAGGUGUCGGCUUAAGUGCCAUAACGAGCGCAACCCUUAUCUUUAGUUACUAACAGGUCAUGCUGAGGACUCUAGAGAGACUGCCGUCGUAAGAUGUGAGGAAGGUGGGGAUGACGUCAAAUCAGCACGGCCCUUACGUCCGGGGCUACACACGUGUUACAAUGGGGGGUACAGAAGGCGGCUACCUGGUGACAGGAUGCUAAUCCCAAAAACCUCUCUCAGUUCGGAUCGAAGUCUGCAACCCGACUUCGUGAAGCUGGAUUCGCUAGUAAUCGCGCAUCAGCCAUGGCGCGGUGAAUACGUUCCCGGGCCUUGUACACACCGCCCGUCAAGCCAUGAAAGCCGGGGGUACCUGAAGUACGUAACCGCAA
rnacentral:rRNA from 2 species